rnacentral:tRNA from 1 species
AGGAUAAUAGUUUCAUAACGUUUAAGUUGCAUUUAAAAAAUAUUGGUCAGCCAAUUUAUCUUU